rnacentral:rRNA from 1 species
CAGUCGCCACGGGAAUACGAAGGGGGCUAGCGUUGCUCGGAAUCACUGGGCGUAAAGGGUGCGUAGGCGGGUCUUUAAGUCAGAGGUGAAAUCCUGGAGCUCAACUCCAGAACUGCCUUUGAUACUGGAGAUCUCGAGUUCGGGAGAGGUGAGUGGAACUGCGAGUGUAGAGGUGAAAUUCGUAGAUAUUCGCAAGAACACCAGUGGCGAAGGCGGCUCACUGGCCCGAUACUGACGCUGAGGUGCGAAAGCGUGGCGAGCAAACAGGAUUAGAUACCCGCGUAGUCCCUGUCUCUUAUAC